rnacentral:rRNA from 1 species
GUGGGGAAUAUUGCACAAUGGGCGAAAGCCUGAUGCAGCGACGCCGCGUGAGGGAUGACGGCCUUCGGGUUGUAAACCUCUUUCAGCAGGGACGAAGCGCAAGUGACGGUACCUGCAGAAGAAGCACCGGCUAACUACGUGCCAGCAGCCGCGGUAAUACGUAGGGUGCAAGCGUUGUCCGGAAUUACUGGGCGUAAAGAGUUCGUAGGCGGUUUGUCGCGUCGUUUGUGAAAACCAGCAGCUCAACUGCUGGCUUGCAGGCGAUACGGGCAGACUUGAGUACUGCAGGGGAGACUGGAAUUCCUGGUGUAGCGGUGAAAUGCGCAGAUAUCAGGAGGAACACCGGUGGCGAGGGCGGGUCUCUGGGCAGUAACUGACGCUGAGGAACGAAAGCGUGGGUAGCGAACAGGAUUAGAAACCCCUGUAGUCC